rnacentral:rRNA from 1 species
GCAUAUCUCCAAAAAGCGGAGGAAAAGAAACCAACAGGGAUUGCCCUAGUAACGGCGAGUGAAGCGGCAACAGCUCAAAUUUGAAAUCUGGCUCUCGGGCCCGAGUUGUAAUUUGUAGAGGAUGCUUUUGAUGCGGUGCCUUCCGAGUUCCCUGGAACGGGACGCCAUAGAGGGUGAGAGCCCCGUCUGGUUGGAUGCCAAAUCUCUGUAAAGCUCCUUCGACGAGUCGAGUAGUUUGGGAAUGCUGCUCUAAAUGGGAGGUAUAUGUCUUCUAAAGCUAAAUACCGGCCAGAGACCGAUAGCGCACAAGUAGAGUGAUCGAAAGAUGAAAAGCACUUUGAAAAGAGAGUUAAAAAGUACGUGAAAUUGUUGAAAGGGAAGCGUUUAUGACCAGACUUGGGCUUGGUUAAUCAUCUGGGGUUCUCCCCAGUGCACUUUUCCAGUCCAGGCCAGCAUCAGUUUUCGCCGGGGGAUAAAGGCUUCGGGAAUGUGGCUCUCUCCGGGGAGUGUUAUAGCCCGUUGCGUAAUACCCUGGCGGGGACUGAGGUUCGCGCAUCUGCAAGGAUGCUGGCGUAAUGGUCAUCAACGACCCGUCUCGAACCCCGGG